GACAGUCGAACGGAAAGGCCCUUCGGGGUACUCGAGUGGCGAACGGGUGAGUAACACGUGGGUGAUCUGCCCUGCACUUUGGGAUAAGCCUGGGAAACUGGGUCUAAUACCGAAUAGGACCGCAUGCUUCAUGGUGUGUGGUGGAAAGCUUUUGCGGUGUGGGAUGGGCCCGCGGCCUAUCAGCUUGUUGGUGAGGUAAUGGCUUACCAAGGCGACGACGGGUAGCCGGCCUGAGAGGGUGACCGGCCACACUGGGACUGAGAUACGGCCCAGACUCCUACGGGAGGCAGCAGUGGGGAAUAUUGCACAAUGGGCGCAAGCCUGAUGCAGCGACGCCGCGUGAGGGAUGACGGCCUUCGGGUUGUAAACCUCUUUCGCCAGGGACGAAGCGCAAGUGACGGUACCUGGAGAAGAAGGACCGGCCAACUACGUGCCAGCAGCCGCGGUAAUACGUAGGGUCCGAGCGUUGUCCGGAAUUACUGGGCGUAAAGAGCUCGUAGGUGGUUUGUCGCGUUGUUCGUGAAAACUCACAGCUUAACUGUGGGCGUGCGGGCGAUACGGGCAGACUUGAGUACUGCAGGGGAGACUGGAAUUCCUGGUGUAGCGGUGGAAUGCGCAGAUAUCAGGAGGAACACCGGUGGCGAAGGCGGGUCUCUGGGCAGUAACUGACGCUGAGGAGCGAAAGCGUGGGGAGCGAACAGGAUUAGAUACCCUGGUAGUCCACGCCGUAAACGGUGGGUACUAGGUGUGGGUUUCCUUCCUUGGGAUCCGUGCCGUAGCUAACGCAUUAAGUACCCCGCCUGGGGAGUACGGCCGCAAGGCUAAAACUCAAAGAAAUUGACGGGGGCCCGCACAAGCGGCGGAGCAUGUGGAUUAAUUCGAUGC
rnacentral:rRNA from 1 species